AGAAUCAACGCUGGCGGCGUGCCUAACACAUGCAAGUCGCACGAGAAAGGGUAGCAAUACCUGAGUACAGUGGCGCACGGGUGAGUAACACGUGAAUAAUCUACCUCCGAGUGGGGAAUAACUGAGAGAAAUCUUAGCUAAUACCGCAUAAUACCCACGGGUCAAAGCAGCAAUGCGCUUGGAGAGGAGUUCGCGGCAGAUUAGUUAGUUGGCGGGGUAAUGGCCCACCAAGACGAUGAUCUGUAUCCGGCCUGAGAGGGCGCACGGACACACUGGAACUGAAACACGGUCCAGACUCCUACGGGAGGCAGCAGUGGGGAAUUUUGCGCAAUGGGGGAAACCCUGACGCAGCAACGCCGCGUGGAGGAUGAAGCCCCUUGGGGUGUAACUCCUUUCGAUCGGGAAGAUAAUGACGGUACCGAUAUAAGAAGCCCGGCUACUUCGUGCCAGCAGCCGC
rnacentral:rRNA from 1 species